AUACGGAGGAUCCAAGCGUUAUCCGGAUUUAUUGGGUUUAAAGGGUGCGUAGGCGGAAUAGUAAGUCAGUGGUGAAAUCCUGCAGCUUAACUGCAGAACUGCCAUUGAUACUGCCAUUCUUGAGUAUAGUUGAGGUGGGCGGAAUGUGUCAUGUAGCGGUGAAAUGCAUAGAUAUGACACAGAACGCCGAUAGUGAAGACAGUUCACCAAACUACUACUGACGCUAAGGCACGAAAGCGUGGGGAGCAAACAGGAUUAGAAACCCCGGUAGUCC
rnacentral:rRNA from 1 species